rnacentral:lncRNA from 1 species
GAUAAUUCUUCCUUAUGGAAAAGUCCUUAUUCUGAAGUUAAGAACCCUAGGAUUAUGGAGGAAGACGAUGCAAAAGUUCUAUCAAUCUCCGGCGAUGAUUUCACGCAGGGCCGACUCAAGGGUAAGGCUACAGCCCUAGCUCUGUGCCUCCUUUCUUUCAUGGCCUAACUAUCCUCUGCUCGACCUCUACUCACUCGGAUUUUAUUCAACCAUUCCUUCUUCCCCCAAUUCUUACAUAUUGAUCGAUCGAUUAUAAGAGAUUCUACUGUCACUACCGCAGUACCGCUACUACUGCUAUGGUUACAAGUUUUUUUCUCUUUUAGAUUAGAAGUAUAGAAGUUAACGAAUGCACUCUAGCUGCAACUAUAGAGAUGCUGAUUAGGGCCUUCCGAUCUUUGCUAUCAGUGUAGGUCUCAAUACAUGUGACAAAGCAUCUGUCCAGCAUUAUGUGCAAUCACAUAUUCAAAUCAAUGAGUACCACGAUCGUGUAAUAUUGGUGAGGGAACCAUUGCAGUCCCUAGUUAACUGCCUUUGUCCGGUGUGUGGCAAGGAUCAAGAGUCUACAGAACAUACGUGUGUGACGUGUGCUUUCGCUCAAACGGUAUGGCAUUUAGUAUCGCAAUGGUGCAAGCUCCCUCCAAUCUAUGCAUUCCGGAUAUUAAGUCAAAACCAGGUUGGGUUAGCGAUCAUGGGAUAUAAUUUGCCACAACCAGCUUAGCUUUGGGAAAGGAUGUGUCCAACAACAAGAAAGAGCAUAGAAAACUGCCAUUCAAGCGCUUAUCAAUGCCUCAGUCACCCAAACUCUUCUUUGGUCUCUCAAAUAUGACUAUUUGAUCCUAAUCAUUAUGUAGGAGUGGCAUUUUCGACCCAUUUGCUUACGAAUGGUUCUAUUUUUGUUAUAAAUUAUAUCAAACGGGUCUGAUCAUCAACUAUAACUCAAAUGGGUUAAUGGUUUGAAAGUUGCCAAAUGUGUAUAUAUAAUAUAUAAAACCUCCUAAAUAUUCUAAUAUUUAAGUUUUAUUUAACAACCAAUUAUUAAAAGUGUAAAAAGUCGGAAGGAGUGGUUGUUCGCCAACCCAACCCAACCCGGUUUGACCUCUACUAAACAAACAUGUUGUUCUCUGCCCGGUUUGAUCAUUUAAAUCCCCGUUUUCCAGCAUCAUAAAUAAGCAACAUAUUUUUCUAUAAAAUUGCAGAUAUUAAGCUUUGUCACGACAACAUGACAUAACCCACAUGAUGAGAGGCAUUCUCAUCAACCAGCUAACUAGUUGCAGGCUGCAGGUCACGCGUGUUAGAAAGUUCCAUAGAGUUGCUACUACAUGCUGCUUGGUUGCGAAUGCUUUUGGGAUUGGGUCUUAGGUGUUUUUUUGUCAUUUUAUGAAUAGAAUAUACAUAUAUAAAUUGUUUCUAUGUUUCGAGUCUUUGGUCCCUUAUAAGGUUCAAAGAAAUUAAACAUGUAAUCCCUUCUUUUUAUCCCUUAUAAGGUUCAAAGAAAUUAAACAUGUAAUCCCUUCUUUUUGAAAUAUUGCUUAAAUU